AAUAUUCUAAAUAUGCGUACACAAUUGUUCAAAAGGUACUCUUACAAUAGUUCAAUAUAUUCUAGCAAAGAAUAUAUUUCACAAAAUCAAACAUAAUGUAUUCAAACUUUUACAAUAGUUCAAAAACUCUUCAUCAUCCACUUCAAUGAGAUCAAAUUGACUUGUAGCGACCCUUCAAAUUUGAUCACCUCCAUUUCCCUACACAUUUAGAAUUUACGACAAAUCAGAUUGCAACAAUUAUAUACGAGGCAAAGAGUUCCACAUAUUCCACAUUGCACAACAGUUCUGGAUUUUAAAUUUUUACGAAAAGAUGUGGUCCAAUUUGUGAAGCUGCACUAUUUUUCCAACAACACCCUCAUAAUCACACAACAGUUCUGAAUUUUAAAUUUUUACGGAAAGACGUGGUCCAAUUUGUGAAGCUGUACUAUUUUUCCAACAACACCCUCAUAAUCACACAGUUAUCAAAAAACAGAGGAGCUGUUAAUAUUUCUAUUGCAUUUAAUGGGUGGUGAUUUCCUUGUAUUUCAACUCUCCUUUGACAGGUAUGCUCACACUCAACAUUAGCAUCUUAUUUCCACUCUCCUAUUUUCUAUUCCCCUAUCCUAGUUUUUAAAAGUUUUAGUCAUUCUUAGUUGAAUUUACCAAAAGCAUAUCAUGCACACAUGCCGUAUGCUUCCUUUGCUAAUUUCUCUAAGAUAUAAACUUCAAUUUGCUUGAUGAUGGCCUAAUAGAUCUUUAUGUUAUGAGAGAACUGAUGAUACUAAGACCAAAGUUUCAGGAAUGCAUAUCCAUUAACUUACCAGAAAUCUAGAAGUUACAACUUACAAAAACCUUUUUGGGUCUUUUAUUAUUUUCUUCCGAAAAAUAAUGCUUUGGAAGGGACACAAAAUGAGUCAGCUGCUUGUUGAGUUGAUUUGUAAAAGACAUCAAAAGUAGAUGUUUAGCUAUAUGAAUCCUAGAUGUUAAAGAUAAGCAUGAAACCUUAUAAAACAACAACUAUACAUCAAUUCAAAACUAGUUGCUUUAGCUAUAUGAAUCCUCAAUAUUCAUAUUCAUUUCAAAACCUGAUGGAUUUCCAGAUUCCAGAUUUCCAGAUUUCCAAAUUCCAGAUUUCCAAAUUUCCAAAUUUCCAGAUUUCCAGAUUUCAGAUUCCAGAUUCCAAAUUCCAAAUUUCCAGAUUUUAGAUUCCAGAUUCCAGAUUUCCAGAUUCCAGAUUCCAGAUUUCCAGAUUUCCAAAUUUCCAGAUUCCAGAUUCCAGAUUCCAAAUUUCCAUAUUUCCAUAUUUCCAGUGUGCAACUUUAACAGAAAAAGUGUGUAACUUUAACAGAAAACUGUCUAUCAAACUGCACCUCCGGAUCUUGUCCCAACCAUUUUUGCGACUCAAAUUCACUACCAGCCCAUGAUUUCUAAUCAACCAAUC
rnacentral:lncRNA from 1 species